rnacentral:rRNA from 1 species
CGGUGCCAGCCGCCGCGGUAAUACCGGCGCCUCAAGUGGUAGUCGCUUUUAUUGGGCCUAAAACGUCCGUAGCCGGUUUGGUACAUUCGUGGGUAAAUCAACUCGCUCAACGAGUUGAAUUCUGCGAGGACGGCCAGACUUGGGACCGGGAGAGGUGUGGGGUACUCUCAGGGUAGGGGUAAAAUCCUGUCAUCCUGAGAGGACCACCUGUUGCGAAGGCGCCACACUAGAACGGAUCCGACGGUCAGGGACGAAGCCUAGGGGCACGAACCGGAUUAGAUACCCGGGUAGUCCUAGGUGUAAACGCUGUGGACUUGAUGUUGGAGGAGCUCCGAGCUCUUUCAGUGUCGAAGCGAAGGUGAUAAGUCCACUGCCUGGGAAGUACGGUCGCAAGGCUGAAACUUAAAGGAAUUGGCGGGGGAGCACCGCAACCUGAGGAUUGUGCGGUUU